rnacentral:rRNA from 1 species
AGGAAAAGAAACCAACAGGGAUUGCCUCAGUAACGGCGAGUGAAGCGGCAACAGCUCAAAUUUGAAAUCUGGCUCUUUUAGGGUCCGAGUUGUAAUCUGUAGAGGAUGCUUCGGCGUCGGCUCCGGUCUAAGUUCCUUGGAACAGGACGUCAUAGAGGGUGAGAAUCCCGUAUGUGAUCGGUUGCCCUUGCCAUGUGAAGCUCCUUCGACGAGUCGAGUUGUUUGGGAAUGCAGCUCUAAAUGGGAGGUAAAUUUCUUCUAAAGCUAAAUACUGGCCAGAGACCGAUAGCGCACAAGUAGAGUGAUCGAAAGAUGAAAAGCACUUUGGAAAGAGAGUCAAAAAGUACGUGAAAUUGUUGAAAGGGAAGCGCUUGCAACCAGACCUGCCUGCAGUUGCUCAUCCGGGCUUUUGCCCGGUGCACUCUUCUGCUGUCAGGCCAGCAUCAGUUCGGGCGGUCGGAUAAAGGCUUCGGGAAUGUAGCUCCUCUCGAGGAGUGUUAUAGCCCGUUGCGAAAUGCGGCCAGCCUGAACUGAGGUCCGCGCUUCGGCUAGGAUGCUGGCGUAAUGGUUGUAAGCGGCCCGUCUUGAAACACGGACCA